GGAUGUGAGGGCGAUCUGGCUGCGAUAUCUGUCACCCCAUUGAUCGCCAGGGUUGAUUCGGCUGAUCUGGCUGGCUAGGCGGGUGUCCCCUUCCUCCCUCGCCGCUCCAUGUGCGUCCCUCCCGAAGCUGCGUGCUCGGUCGAAGAGGACAACCUUCCCCGAUAGAGGAGAGGACCGUUCUUCGGUCAAGGGUAUACGAGUAGCUGCACUCCCCUGCUAGAACCUCCAAACAAGCUCUCAAGAAUGGCCACUACAACUAAGAGCCAAUGGUCACCAUGGAAACUCCCCUUGCUGG
rfam:Mustela putorius furo unplaced genomic scaffold scaffold00073, whole genome shotgun sequence.